rnacentral:rRNA from 1 species
GAUCAUGCUCAGGAUGAACGCUGGCGGCGUGCUUAACACAUGCAAGUCGAACGAAGCACUUAAAAUUGACUCUUCGGAUGAUUUCUUUUGUGACUUAGUGGCGGACGGGUGAGUAACGCGUGGGUAACCUGCCUCACACAGGGGGAUAACAGUUAGAAAUGACUGCUAAUACCGCAUAACCCGAUAGGAUCGCAUGAUCCAGACGGAAAAGAUUUAUCGGUGUGAGAUGGACCCGCG